rfam:Rhizophagus irregularis DAOM 181602 strain DAOM 197198 GLOINscaffold_26772_Cont26560, whole genome shotgun sequence.
CUUGCUCUAUAUGAUGAGAAUAUUUUAAAACAGUUAUCCCUGGCUGAAAUUUCAUAUGAUCGAAUUUAGUUUUUCUGAAAGCAAG